GGGGAAUAUUGCACAAUGGGGGAAACCCUGAUGCAGCAACGCCGCGUGAAGGAAGACGGUCUUCGGAUUGUAAACUUUUGUACUUGGGGACGAUAAUGACGGUACCCAAGCAGCAAGCUCCGGCUAACUACGUGCCAGCAGCCGCGGUAAUACGUAGGGAGCGAGCGUUGUCCGGAUUUACUGGGUGUAAAGGGUGCGUAGGCGGCUUGGCAAGUCAGUUGUGAAAACUAUGGGCUCAACCCAUAGCCUGCAAUUGAAACUGUUGAGCUUGAGUGAAGUAGAGGUAGGUGGAAUUCCCGGUGUAGCGGUGAAAUGCGUAGAUAUUAGGAGGAACACCAGUGGCGAAAGCGGCUUUCUGGACGACAACUGACGCUGAGGCGCGAAAGCCAGGGGAGCAAACG
rnacentral:rRNA from 2 species